rnacentral:ncRNA from 1 species
AAGAGAAGUCAAUAAAUUGGAUUGGCUCUGUAGAUCGGGACGUGUCCGGCUUGGUCGGGAAGCGGGUCUAGGCUGACGUGCCGGGUCUGGGCGAGAUGAUGGCGCGAGCUUCGUGCCCCUGUCGGACCCGAAGUCGGUCCCGUGUCUUGGCCACCCGCGGAAAUUCUUUGCUGUAAGCGUCGAUCUGCAGCUCGCGUCGUGGCCGGUUGUCCCCUUCGGCCGCCAUUUAAUGGUCCACUCAGAAAUGAUACGGACUAGGAGAAUCUGAAUGUCUAAUUAAAACAUUGCUAUGACCCCAGAGGGUAUUGACACAAUGUGAUUUCCACCCAGUGUCCUGAAUGUCAACGUGAAGAAAUUGAAGAAAGCGCGGGUAAACGGUGAGAGUAACUAUGAUUCUCUUUCGGGGGAGCCAUAAAAAUGCCACACAGACUCUCUCCUCGU